UACGGAGGGUGCGAGCGUUAAUCGGAAUUAUUGGGCGUAAAGGGUGCGCAGGUGGUUUGAUAAGUUAUCUGUGAAAGACCUGGGCUUAACCUGGGACAGUCAGAUAAUACUGUUGAACUUGAGUAUGGGAGAGGGCAGUGGAAUUUCCGGUGUAGCGGUGAAAUGCGUAGAUAUCGGAAGGAACACCAGUGGCGAAGGCGGCUGCCUGGCCUAAUACUGACACUGAGGCACGAAAGCGUGGGGAGCAAACAGG
rnacentral:rRNA from 1 species